rnacentral:misc_RNA from 1 species
AGGUGUCCUCGUACGCGUUGUUUCGACAAUACGGCAGGCAACCCCAGACCCAGAAUCCGCUCCCUCCCUCUCAGCUUCUUCCACCUUUCCUUUUAGUUACUGCUGGGCCCUCUUUGUCUCUCUUCCCUCUUUGUUUUGCGGACUUCUCGCUUCUGUCGUUCUACGCACUCGCCACCUCCCCCCUCUUCGUCCUUAGUGUGUCCGCGAUCUGUCCGAUCACCGGCACUGUGUGUCUAUUCCACUGUCUGAGGCUUGCCAUUACGCUCGUGCACGUACACACACACAUACAUACACAACUACGCACUUGCUGUCCUCUCUUCCUCCAUACACACUUCUCUCUAGUGCAGAGUGUGCAGAUGUCGUUGAAGGCUCUCAAGGCGUCAUUCGAGGCCAACAAGCGUGUCUACGAGAGCGUGCUGCUCACUUUCAAAGGUGUUGACGGCUAUGACGUGUACAACUGCUCCGUUCCCUUCUCCUACAAGGGCAAGACGCACAUCUACGGCCGCGUUGAAAAGCGCGAUAUUUGGGCCGCUUCGCAUGUGCGGCUCUUCGAGGAGACGGGCAAGGAUGAGUUCACGGCGGUGCCGGAGCUCAGCUGGGAGUUGGAGGACCCGUACAUUCAAAAUGUGAAAGGGGAGAUGAUCUUCGGCGGCACGCGCGUUCGCAAGAACGGCAACGAGAUCCUCAGCUACUACGGCUACUUCUACCGUGGCACGCCGGUGGAGUUGAACUACUUCACGACAGGCCCUGACUACAUGAAGGAUAUUCGCGUGGUUCCGCUUCAAGAUGGCCGUCUCGGCGUCUUCUCGCGCGUUCGAACGAAGGCGGAAGUAUACGUAGGAUUCUCCACGGUCGACACCAUUGACCACCUAACAACGGAGGUCAUCGCAGCGGCGAAGGCGAUCGAUUUCAUCAAGCCAGGGACGUGGGGCGGCGUGAACCAGGCGUAUCUGUUAUCGAGCGGUAAAAUUGGCUGCAUCGGCCACUUCGCGUACAACGACACAAAACCAUCUGGGGAGCCGCUCACGGUAUACAUCAAUAUCUCCUUCAUUUUUGACGCCGAGACACGCCAGCUGGAAACCGAGCAUGUGAUUGGAACAAAGUCGUGCUAUCCACCCUGCCCGGCAAAGCUACCGACCCUCGAGGACUGCGUUUUCGCCUCCGGCAUCGUCAUGCGCAACGAUGGCAAGUGCGACCUGUACAGCGGUCUUGGCGACACCCACGAGGGCCGCAUCACCAUUGACUACCCGUUCGAUGGAUAUGGUAACAUCGUUGGCCGAAUGAUCUUCUAGGCCAGCGGAUUCCCAGCCUUCCUACUCACUUUCCGCUGCCCAUUACUUUCACAUUGUCGGUGCUUUCUGUAGUCUUCUCCCAUUUUUAUCGGUUCUGUCCGCGCCAUCACUGCCGCCCCUACUACUUUCGUGAUCAGCUGUGCCUGCCGCCGGCAAUCUUUUUAAACCAGUUUACCUAACCAGCGCCAUCACUACCCUUCGCCACCCUUUUUACUUCACUCUGUCGACGUGCACUGUGUGGCUGAGAGUUAUUUGGUGCCUCACGAGUGUCUCUCGUUUUUUUUUUUUUGACUGCUCUAUGCUCCUGAUGAUGUGAGGAUACACCUCUCCGUGUGUGGUGUCAGGGCUCAGUACCCCGACUCUGCGUGAGGGGAAGCCAUGCACCCUCUUAACCCCUGUCGAUGUCAAGCCACCUCUGGUUGUGCCAGCGACAAUCACCCACGCGGUUGAGGAUGCCAGAGCGAUGCAUGGCUGCUGAUGUCGGCGGUGGGGUGGUGGACGGCGUUGCGUUGGAGCGGCCUGAGACAGCGAACACGCGUGUGCCAUCCACAUCAUGGGCACAGUGCCAAUGCCACUCCAAUGCAUCUUCACCCCGCCCUGGCACUGCCUGCAGGUGUGGGGCGCCUGAGCCACCUCGAGGGGGGGAUGCAUCAGGUGGCUGCCGGCACCAUGGGAGCGGCUGUGAGGCGACCUGACCUGCGAGGCAGGGGGGCGGGUAGAGUGUGAGGCAGAGGCUGUGCUGCGGUGCCCACGUGGGCAUUGCGGUAGCACUUGUCUGCUGCUGCAUGGCACCACGCGAUGGGGACGCUGUGACGGGCCGGGGGUAGGGUGGAGGUCAGAUCAUGCGGUAUGAGAACGGGGACUGGCUAAAAAAGAAAAGUUUUGCUCUGUGUUUGCUCUUGUCUGUUUUGGGACUUUGUAUAUCUUUUUUUUUGCAUCUGCUUUUGUUUCUGUGAUGGCUUGCGUCGACAUCUCUGUCUCUCUCUCUCUGCGUCUGAGCAACUAUUAUUCUGCGGUGACGUACCGGAGCACACCCUCUUCUUCGUGCUUGCCUGUUCCUUCAUGCUCCCCCUCUAGACCACUCUAGGACAAUGUCGCGGCUGGUCGAAUCGCGGACAAGGCCGAAUAAGAGGAGACCAAAAGAGAAAGGCAGGCACGGCAGCACGGUGUCACCCCUUGUGCACAGAGAACAAAAUGAAUCUCAACAAAGAGGGUGAACGAAAGAAAGCAGUCACUACUGACAUAGCCGGCACUUAGAUGGUGCUGAACUGCCGUGAGAUGCUUUCUUCCUCAGAUCCCUUGUCCUCUCGC